UACGUAGGGUGCAAGCGUUGUCCGGAAUUAUUGGGCGUAAAGGGUGCGUAGGCGGUUUUUUAAGUCUUGUGUGAAAUCUUCAGGCUCAACUUGAAGACUGCACGAGAAACUGCAGGGCUUGAGUGUGGGAGAGGUGAGUGGAAUUCCCAGUGUAGCGGUGAAAUGCGUAGAUAUUGGGAGGAACACCAGUGGCGAAGGCGGCUCACUGGACCGGUACUGACGCUGAUGCGCGAAAGCGUGGGGAGCAAACGGG
rnacentral:rRNA from 1 species